AGGCGGCGGGGCUGCGCGCUGCGAUAAAAGGCCCGGGCGGCUCGGACGCGUUGCUGUUCAGGGUGCACCCGCGGAGGACGCGGCGAGAACAGCUGUCCGGGUGUCACGUGGAAAGGCGAUGGUCGGCCACUCCCGAGCAGCAGGGCUUCAGGACACGUUGGAGACAAUGACUGCCUGCCUUCCUGCUCCUUGCCUCAGCUUUUCUAUCUGAGCUGACAUCAUAUGGGCUAUGAGAUUAGCAACUAUAUAGAAUUAGUAGUUGCGUAAGGAAACAGCAUCUUCAAAUGAGAAGACUCGUGGAUCUGCAGAAUGAGUUUUUAUUCAGAUGCAAGUUUAGAAAUUUCACUGUUGAAAAUGUCACCACUGAACUACAAAGUAUCACAAAGAGAAAAGGGUGAGUAUACAUAAAUCUGAUUAUGUUUUUCUUUUAAAAAUAACUUCUGUAUUUGAGAUUAAGCCAUAGUCCCCUAGAGGUUUACACAAUUCAUUCUCAUCAGCAAAACUGGAACUCUGAACAAAGGGUUAAAUAAAGCACACAGAAUUCAUGUCAGCCUUUUUUUUUAUAUAUAUGACUGAAAAACUACAAUAAUUAAUUUCUUUUUGAGGGAAG